UACGGGGGAUGCAAGCGUUAUCCGGAAUUAUUGGGCGUAAAGCGUCCGCAGGUGGCGAAUCAAGUCUGUUGUUAAAGAGCGGAGCUUAACUCCGUAAAGGCGAUGGAAACUGAUUAGCUAGAGCUAGGUAGGGGUAAGAGGAAUUCCCAGUGUAGCGGUGAAAUGCGUAGAUAUUGGGAAGAACACCGGCGGCGAAAGCGUCUUACUGGGCCUGAACUGACACUGAGGGACGAAAGCUAGGGGAGCGAAAGGG
rnacentral:rRNA from 1 species